rnacentral:lncRNA from 1 species
GUUUUUGGCAAAUUUCCAAUAUACAUAAUUUAAAAGCAGUUUAGGUGAGAUAUUCAAAUGAGUUUCAAUUACCAACCUUACACUGCUUUUAAAUUAUGUUUUGUACUUAAGUAAUUGUCCAUUAACCUGGAAACCCCUUUUCCCCCUUUUUUGCACCUUAUUUCUUAACGGUUUGAGCCAUAACUCCCAAAGACAAUUCUUACCAUCCCUUUGUGGUAUUCCAAUAUCCAAAAUCUAAAUACAUGGUUAGAUUCAGCAUACCAAAGAACCACAAGAAUUCAAUUUUUGAUGAAAUCAAAUAAAUUUCAAUUUUGGACCCUUUAGACCUCACUGUGGACCAAUUUGAUAACCGGGCCCAAAUAUCAUAAAUCUAAAUACAUGGUUAGAUUCAGCAUAUCGAAGAACCCCAUAUAUUCAAUUUUUGUUGAAAUCAAACAAAGUUUAAUUUUGGACCCCAAUUUUGACCAACUUGAAAACUUGGCCCAUAAUAAAAAAAAACUAAGUACAUGUUUAGAUUCAGCAUAUCAAAGAACCC